CUCGCAAGACCGGAAAUCCAAGAUGGCGGAGAUAUGCAACUAGCCCAUUGGUUUAGCACUUCUGCUCAUCUGGAAGCUGCUCAUGAUUAUUCAUGACCGCAGAGAGUUCGCCAAGUUCGAGAAGGAGAAGAUGAAUGCCAGAUGGGACACGGGCGAGAACCCCAUUUACAAGAGUGCUGUGACAACGGUGGUCAACCCCAAAUAUGAGGGCAAGUAAUGGACGAAUGUGUCAAUCUUCCAGCAACACUGAAUGCAGAGCAGUUCAAGAGGAAUGGAAGAGUUGAACUUCACUCCGUUUAUUUUCUUUUUGUGUUUUUUAAAUCGCCUUUUGGAAGUGCAUUUGAUCGAUUAACCUGUGUUGCUAUGCAUUGUUUUGGAACUGUACAGUAUGUAAAAACUUGAGUUUUUACUUUAUGCAAUCUGAGACAAAAUCAUUUCAGUGUUCAGUUUAGAUUUUUAGCCACAGAUCUGCCUUGUUUUUCUGAAUGUUACAACUGAUCUUGAGUUAGAUGACGGGUUUUGUAGGUAAGAUGUGGUCAAGUAUGCUUUAAGGAUGUUAUACAGAAAGACUAGGCACAAUUAUUUGAGUCAGUUUGUGUCUUCUGACGGUAGAGGAAACUUUCUGAACCUGUGGAUGGAGUGUCCUGUCACUGGUGUAGUAGGUAGCUGCAGCCGACCACUGCUGUUUGCACACAUGGUGCUUUUCAUCUAGAUGCUUAAGUCGUCUGCAGAAAUCCGGAUGAUUUGAGACCAUAUUAUAAUUUUUAAGUCUGUGUGACUUUGUAUUGGUGUGCUCACUUUGCCUUUCUUUGGUCUGUGAGACAGGUGGCUUAGUGACCUUCUAUAGUGCACAUUAAUGAGUUGAAACAAUCUAAAAUGGACAGGUUUAAUAUCUUUUUAAUUGCAUCAAAAAAAAAAUUGUGAAUUAAUGUGUCAAGUGUUUGAUUUAAAUGCCAUUGACUUGGUAACAUCUGAGUUUGAAUGCUGUUCGAGAGAGAUUUUCAUCAUUGUCUGUGCAUGGAACAAUCAACUUUUUAUUAUGAUUAUUAUGUGGAGAAAUAUGAAAAGAUCUUCAGGUUUUAGGUUUGUUUAAAGAAUGAGGAAAUGAAAACUCAGGUCCUGAAUUUCUCUCUAUAACUGAUGCCAAAUCUUUGUCUACAGUGCAUGAUCUAUUUUCCAGAUGUGAACUUCACUUUUUUUUUUUGUUUUAUUUGUCCCUUUGUAACAUUGUUCAUAAAUCAGAAUAACUUCAGAAUAACAAACUCAUAUUAUUUUUAGUAAAGACCAGUGUUAAAGAAAGAUUACUUUUCUCUCUCUCUCUCUAAAGCUUUGAAAAGCUUAAUCAUGUUACAUACACACUUUGCAUUUUAAAGUCAUUUUUGCAUCAUGCUCAUUGUCUUUUGUUUCUAGGAGUUAUUUAUUUAAAAAAAUAAACAACCCAAAACACUGGA